rnacentral:rRNA from 1 species
AUGAAGUUAGCAUGCAGCAUUUGGUCGUCGUCGGUGCCCGUUGAUGUGGCGACGGCGACCGAGUCCGCGGACACUCCUCUGUACAGCCAACCUCCUGUGGCGCCGGCAGGCCGUCGCCGGCCUACGACACCGAGUACCGCCGGUUCCUCGAGGACGAGCCGGACGACUUGUUGGACCCUAGCGGCUUGGCCGACGACCGCGGGCUCUGCGAGCUCCCGGACGUGUCGGAGCUCUUGCUCACCACCUCGCCGGGCCCCGGCGGCUUCCCGACCACCCACAGCCUGUCGAAGAUCCUCCGCGACCGCGACGACAGCGACAUCCUGCUGCUCUGGUUCGCGAUGCUGGCGCUCCUCACCAGGCGCCGGCCUUCACUGA